UACGUAGGGGGCAAGCGUUGUCCGGAUUUACUGGGUGUAAAGGGUGCUCAGGUGGUUUGGUAAGUCAGUGGUGAAAUCUCGAAGCUUAACUUCGGAACUGCCUCUGAUACUAUCAGACUUGAGUAUGGAAGAGGAUGAUGGAAUUCCUGGUGUAGCAGUGAAAUGCGUAGAUAUCAGGAAGAACACCAGUGGCGAAGGCGGUCAUCUGGUCCAUUACUGACACUAAAGCACGAAAGCGUGGGGAU
rnacentral:rRNA from 1 species